UAUAGGUUUGGUCCCAGCCUUCCUGUUAACUUUCAAUAGACUUAUACAUGCAAGCAUCCACGCCCCGGUGAGUAACGCCCUUCGAAUCACACAGGACUAAAAGGAGCAGGUAUCAAGCACACACUCUUGUAGCUCACAACGCCUUGCUUAACCACACCCCCACGGGAGACAGCAGUAACAAAAAUUAAGCCAUAAACGAAAGUUUGACUAAGCCAUAUUGAUUAGGGUUGGUAAAUCUCGUGCCAGCCACCGCGGUCAUACGAUUGACCCAAGCUAACAGGAGUACGGCGUAAAGCGUGUUAAAGCAUCAUACUAAAUAGAGUUAAAUUUUAAUUAAACUGUAAAAAGCCAUAAUUAUAACAAAAAUAAAUGACGAAAGUAACCCUACAAUAGCUGAUACACCAUAGCUAAGACCCAAACUGGGAUUAGAUACCCCACUAUGCUUAGCCCUAAACACAAAUAAUUAU
rnacentral:rRNA from 1 species